GACGAACGCUGGCGGCGUGCUUAACACAUGCGAGUCGAACGGAAAGGCCCUGCUUUUGUGGGGUGCUCGAGUGGCGAACGGGUGAGUAACACGUGAGUAACCUGCCCUUGACUUUGGGAUAACUUCAGGAAACUGGGGCUAAUACCGGAUAGGAGCUCCUGCUGCAUGGUGGGGGUUGGAAAGUUUCGGCGGUUGGGGAUGGACUCGCGGCUUAUCAGCUUGUUGGUGGGGUAGUGGCUUACCAAGGCUUUGACGGGUAGCCGGCCUGAGAGGGUGACCGGCCGCAUUGGGACUGAGAUACGGCCCAGACUCCUACGGGAGGCAGCAGUGGGGAAUAUUGCACAAUGGGCGGAAGCCUGAUGCAGCAACGCCGCGUGCGGGAUGACGGCCUUCGGGUUGUAAACCGCUUUCGCCUGUGACGAAGCGUGAGUGACGGUAAUGGGUAAAGAAGCACCGGCUAACUACGUG
rnacentral:rRNA from 1 species